rnacentral:rRNA from 1 species
AACGAACGCUGGCGGCAGGCCUAACACAUGCAAGUCGAGCCAGGACUUCGGUUCUAGCGGCGGACGGGUGAGUAACGCGUGGGAAUGUGCCCUUCUCUACGGAAUAGCCCUGGGAAACUGGGAGUAAUACCGUAUACGCCCUAUUGGGGAAAGAUUUAUCGGAGAAGGAUCAGCCCGCGUUGGAUUAGGUAGUUGGUGGGGUAAUGGCCUACCAAGCCGACGAUCCAUAGCUGGUUUGAGAGGAUGAUCAGCCACACUGGGACUGAGACACGGCCCAGACUCCUACGGGAGGCAGCAGUGGGGAAUCUUAGACAAUGGGGGCAACCCUGAUCUAGCCAUGCCGCGUGAGUGAUGAAGGCCUUAGGGUUGUAAAGCUCUUUCAGCUGGGAAGAUAAUGACGGUACCAGCAGAAGAAGCCCCGGCUAACUCCGUG